ensembl:misc_RNA Metazoa_SRP Metazoan signal recognition particle RNA
GCCUGGCAUAGUGGUAUAUGCCUAUAGUUCCAGCUACUCACUUGGGAGUCUGGGCAGGAGGAUUGCUUGAGCCCAGGAGUUCUAGGCUAUAGUGUGCUAUGCCGAUUGGGUAUCUGCACUAAGUUUGGGAUCAAUAUGAUGGCUGCCUGGGACCAAGGGACCACCUGGUUACCUAAUGUGGGAUGAACCCACCCAGGCUGAAAUGGAGCAGGUCAAAAUUCCCUUGCUGAUCAGUUGAGGGAUGGCAUCUGUGAAUAGCUAUGGGUUUCCAGCCUGGGCAACAUAGCAAGACCCUAUCUCUU